CAGGGGAAUAGUACAAUGGUAGUGCGGCGGUCUCCAAAACCGUUGAUGGGAGUUCGAUCCUCUCUUCCCCUGU
rnacentral:tRNA from 1 species